rnacentral:rRNA from 1 species
AUUGAACGCUGGCGGCAUGCCUAACACAUGCAAGUCGAACGGAAACGAUGGGAGCUUGCUCCCAGGCGUCGAGUGGCGGACGGGUGAGUAAUACUUAGGAAUCUGCCCAUUAGUGGGGGACAACUAGAAGAAAUUCUAGCUAAUACCGCAUACGCCCUACGGGGGAAAGCGGGGGAUCUUCGGACCUCGCGCUAAUGGAUGAGCCUAAGUCGGAUUAGCUUGUUGGUGAGGUAAUGGCUCACCAAGGCGACGAUCCGUAGCUGGUCUGAGAGGACGAUCAGCCACACUGGGACUGAGACACGGCCCAG